rnacentral:misc_RNA from 1 species
AAGAAGAAGAAGAAGAAGAGGGGAGGAGAGUAGAUGGCUGAAAAUCAAAGGCUGGCUGGUUAGGGAGUAUUCCAGCAGCGAGGGAAGAUGGAUUUUGGUCUGAAAUUGAAGAAAUUUAAGAGAUAGAGAGAGAAAAGAAGAGAGAGAAAGGAAGAGAGUUAGAGAGAGAAAAUGAGUUUUGGAAGCUUGGUUUCAGCAAAUGGUAAAGAGUUAUGAUGCAAGUUUGAUAUCUAUGAAAUCAAGAGAAAGAGAGGAACAUUCUGGUGAGAUCAAUUCUGACAGAUGUUGCUGGUACGAUCGGCACCGUGCGCGGUGGAGCUAGUGGUGGUUCCGGCAAGCUUUGGCCAUGAUUCAACUUCUAAGAGCUUUCUCAUGAAUUUUUAGAAUUUUGGAGACAUAAAUAAGUUUUGAGGAAGAUUAUUUUUUUUAUUUCUCAGUCGGUGCUUAAAUGCAAUAUUUUUUGGACAAAAAAUUGAAGAAAUAUUUUAAGAAAAAUAUAUGAUGAAAGGAAAAUUAUUUUAAAAUAGAAUACUGUGUUUGUUGAAUUUUUAAAUAUUUAUGGUAUAUUUUUGAGAAAUACAUAUAUGGAUUUUAGUUGAAUUUUUAGUAUAUGGGUAUAUGUGAUUAUGUUAGUUCAUGGUAUUUAAAUUUUAUAUCAUUUGUUGAAACUUGAGAAUAAAGAAUCAUGUUGUGAAGGAUUGAAUUUGAUUGAAGUAAGAAUAUACUAGUUGUUGGAAAAAUUAUAGAAUUGAGUAUUAUUUUUGAUAUU